rnacentral:rRNA from 1 species
UGGGGAAUUUUGGACAAUGGGCGCAAGCCUGAUCCAGCAAUGCCGCGUGCAGGAUGAAGGCCUUCGGGUUGUAAACUGCUUUUGUACGGAACGAAAAGCCUCUCUCUAAAUACAGGGGGGUGAUGACGGUACCGUAAGAAUAAGCACCGGCUAACUACGUGCCAGCAGCCGCGGUAAUACGUAGGGUGCAAGCGUUAAUCGGAAUUACUGGGCGUAAAGCGUGCGCAGGCGGUUUUGUAAGACAGUGGUGAAAUCCCCGGGCUCAACCUGGGAACUGCCAUUGUGACUGCAAGGCUGGAGUGCGGCAGAGGGGGGAUGGAAUUCCGCGUGUAGCAGUGAAAUGCGUAGAUAUGCGGAGGAACACCGAUGGCGAAGGCAAUCCCCCUGGGCCUGCACUGACGCUCAUGCACGAAAGCGUGGGGAGCAAAACAGGAUUAGAUAGCCCUGGUAGUCCACGCCCUAAAACGAUGUCAACUGGUUGUUGGGGGA